CUCCUGAUGUCGUGAUCCGCCAUCUUCGGCCUCCCAAAGUGCUGGGAUUACAGUCGUGAGCAUUUCUGAAAUUUUUGUUAAACCGGAAGUUACGUGGAAAUUAAAAUGCAAUUCUUAAAAGGUCCCUUGAGGAUUUUAUCGGGAUAAUCCAUUAAGGAACAAAAUCCCUGGCCAUUUAUUCUGUUUUUUUAAUGUCCAUGAGUAUAGUAUUUCGUUUUGUUUGUUUGUUUACUGAGACACAGUCUCGCUCGGUCGCCUAGGCUGGUGUACAGUGGCUCGAUCUCAGCUCACUGCAACUUCCGCCUCCGGGUUUAGGCGAUUCUCCCACCUGAAUGGUUAGAACUACAGGCGCACGUGACCUCAACCAGCUAUUUUUUUUUUCUUUCUUCUGUUUUUUGAGAAGGAGUCUUGAUCUGUCGCCCCAGAUGGAGUGCAGUGGCGCGAUCUAAGCUCACCGCUACCUCCGCCUCCCGGUUCCAGCGAUUCUACAACCUCAGCCUCCUAACUCCUGCCAUGUAAGACACCUGGUUCCACUUGUCUCCUGCCAUGAGAAAAAGCUCUUUGGGGCCUCUCCAGAAGCAGAUGCUACCAUGCUUCCUAUUCAGCCUGCAGAACCAUCAUCAGGCUAGUACAAUACAAAGGAAGCAAUCAAGAAAUACUGAAAGAAUGAAAGAAUGAAGGAACGAACAAACGAAGAGUUAAGCCUGUGAAAGUUGAUGAGACAACCAAAGGAGAUAAUGGAGAAGACAGAACACUGGAGCAAUACCCACCUUAAGGGGGUAGAAAGAAAGAAGCUACAGAAGGAAAUAGAAUGAACAAUCAAAGAGGUAGGAAGAAAAUAUCUAGAACUAUACAGUAAAGCAACCCAAAAAAAGAGAGAAAUUUAAGAAGGGCAAGUAGUCAACAGCAUCAAACACUACAUAGAGGUUAAAGAAGGUGAAAACUAGUGAGAAGAAAGCCACUAGUGAUCCUAAUGUUGCUGAUGCUGAGUUAACACCCCCUCAAUUCCAGCACUGUCAGGGGCCACCUUUCUCAACCACUGAUUGAGGCUUACAAAUAACCAAUGGUAUAAAACUUACCUGCACAAUCUUUUUUUUCUACUAUCAAAAAAUUGAAAAACAGACACCAUACAAAAGAAAAAAUCCCCACCAU